rnacentral:sRNA from 1 species
GCUGGGCAUGGUGGCAUGUGCCUGUAAUCCCAGCUACUUAGGAGGCUGAGGCAGGAGGAUCAAGGUCAGCCUGAGAAAGUUAGUGAGAAUCCUGUAUCAA